rnacentral:rRNA from 1 species
GUAGGGAAUAUUGCGCAAUGGACGAAAGUCUGACGCAGCGACGCCGCGUGAGUGAUGAAGGCCUUAGGGUCGUAAAGCUCUGUUGAAUGGGAAGAAAAAAAUGACGGUACCAUUCGAGGAAGGACCGGCUAACUUCGUGCCAGCAGCCGCGGUAAUACGAGGGGUCCUAGCGUUGUUCGGAAUCAUUGGGCGUAAAGGGUGUGUAGGUGGCCAUGUAAGUCAGGUGUGAAAGCCCCGGGCUCAACCCGGGAAGUGCACUUGAUACUGCGUGGCUUGAGUACCGAAGAGGGUAGUGGAAUUCUAGGUGUAGUGGUGAAAUACGUAGAUAUCUGGAGGAACACCGGUGGCGAAGGCGGCUACCUGGUCGAGUACUGACACUGAGACACGAAAGCAUGGGGAUCAAACAGGAUUAGAAACCCUGGUAGUCC